GGGCGCGCCUCAGGAAGAGAAGCCACGGACCGUGUGAGGGGAAAGGGUUUAAUGCGAGUUCCCCACGCUCAAACCGUACAGCUCGUUAACGCUCAGCUCCGAACCGGCCCGAGAGCUGCUGUGUAGUUUUCAUGGAUGUACUUUUCUCUCCAGUCCUGCAAUUAGAAGAGAAGCAAACCAGUAAUUUCUGUGGGACCCCUGCUUAAAGAGGUGAUACAGGAGGAGAAAGCUGACAGCAAGCUCUGUGUCUCACCUCCAGAACCCAGGAAGCGUUUUCCAUCUCGCACCUGAGGAUACUUGGCUUCCAACUUUCUGUCAGGAUAGAUGUAAUUCUCAGCUGAGAAAACCACCUUGCUCUUGGCUUGUUUGAACUUCUUCAGCAGUUCUGCGGGGCCUGAAGCAAAGAGUACAUCAUAGCUGGAGAAAGAGACAGACAAAAAGGACAAAAGGAAUGGAGUCAGAAAAACAUGUCAAUGAUAAAAGUUUUUAGAAACAGCUAAUUCUUUGGGAAUCCCUUUCCUUUAGUUCUGUUUAACACUAUUACAUUUUUUGUAAUGCAACUAAUGAAAGUGUAGUCUUAUGCUGGGUAUAUGAAAA